GACAGAGGCCCCAAGCGUUAGGCGGAAUCACUGGGCUUAAAGCGUGUGUAGGCGGAUCGGUAAGUACCUUGUGAAAUCCCACAGCUUAACUGUGGAACUGCUUGGUAUACUGCCGGUCUUGAGCCAGCUAGGGGCUACCGGAACAAAUGGUGGAGCGGUGAAAUGCGUAGAUAUCAUUGGAACGCCAAUGGUGAAAACAGGUAGCUGGGGCUGUGCUGACGCUGAGACACGAAAGCCAGGGGAGCAAACGGG
rnacentral:rRNA from 1 species